AUUAAUUUCGAGCAAGUUGGGUUGCCUGGUGGCGUAUUAGGAAAAGACUACAGUCAUGUGCAUCCUUUGCUCCAUCAGCGUUUGCAGUGUCAACUCCUGCUGUGAACAAUAACUGAACUGAAAGCUGACAGCUGAGCAUAGAUUCGGUGUAUACAGACAUAAGAUGAGACCAGGUCUCUUAAGCAACCUUUGAAGGAUCCUCCUCUGGCAUAUUUUCCAGAAACUGAAGUUAACUCUAACUUUAUCACUUCUG